GAUGAACGCUGGCGGCGUGCCUAAUACAUGCAAGUCGAGCGAACAGACGAGGAGCUUGCUCCUCUGACGUUAGCGGCGGACGGGUGAGUAACACGUGGAUAACCUACCUAUAAGGCUGGGAUAACUUCGGGAAACCGGAGCUAAUACCGGAUAAUAUAUUGAACCGCAUGGUUCAAUAGUGAAAGACGGUUUUGCUGUCACUUAUAGAUGGAUCCGCGCCGCAUUAGCUAGUUGGUAAGGUAACGGCUUACCAAGGCGACGAUGCGUAGCCGACCUGAGAGGGUGAUCGGCCACACUGGAACUGAGACACGGUCCAGACUCCUACGGGAGGCAGCAGUAGGGAAUCUUCCGCAAUGGGCGAAAGCCUGACGGAGCAACGCCGCGUGAGUGAUGAAGGUCUUCGGAUCGUAAAACUCUGUUAUUAGGGAAGAACAAAUGUGUAAGUAACUAUGCACGUCUUGACGGUACCUAAUCAGAAGGCCACGGCUAACUACGUG
rnacentral:rRNA from 1 species